AGUGAACGCUGGCGGUAGGCCUAACACAUGCAAGUCGAACGGCAGCACAGUAAGAGCUUGCUCUUACGGGUGGCGAGUGGCGGACGGGUGAAGAAUACAUCGGACUCUACUUUUUCGUGGGGGAUAACGUAGGGAAACUUACGCUAAUACCGCAUACGACCUACGGGUGAAAGCAGGGGAUCUUCGGACCUUGCGCGAUUGAAUGAGCCGAUGUCGGAUUAGCUAGUUGGCGGGGUAAAGGCCCACCAAGGCGACGAUCCGUAGCUGGUCUGAGAGGAUGAUCAGCCACACUGGAACUGAGACACGGUCCAGACUCCUACGGGAGGCAGCAGUGGGGAAUAUUGGACAAUGGGCGCAAGCCUGAUCCAGCCAUGCCGCGUGGGUGAAGAAGGCCUUCGGGUUGUAAAGCCCUUUUGUUGGGAAAGAAAAGCAGCAGGUUAAUACCCCGCUGUUCUGACGGUACCCAAAGAAGAAGCACCGGCUAACUUCGUG
rnacentral:rRNA from 1 species